AACGAACGCUGGCGGCAGGCCUAACACAUGCAAGUCGAGCGAACCGCAAGGUUAGCGGCGGACGGGUUAGUAACGCGUGGGAACGUGCCCAAAGGUACGGAAUAGCCUCGGGAAACUGAGAGUAAUACCGUAUGUGCCCGAAAGGGGAAAGAUUUAUCGCCUUUGGAUCGGCCCGCGUUGGAUUAGGUAGUUGGUGGGGUAACGGCCUACCAAGCCGACGAUCCAUAGCUGGUUUGAGAGGAUGAUCAGCAACACUGGGACUGAGGCACGGCCCAGACUCCUACGGGAGGCAGCAGUGGGGAAUCUUAGACAAUGGGGGAAACCCUGAUCUAGCCAUGCCGCGUGAGCGAUGAAGGCCUUAGGGUUGUAAAGUUCUUUCACCGGGGAAGAUAAUGACGGUACCCGGAGAAGAAGCCCCGGCUAACUCCGUGCCAGCCGCCGCCGUAAUAC
rnacentral:rRNA from 1 species